GAGUUUGAUCGUGGCUCAGAUUGAACGCUGGCGGCAUGCCUUACACAUGCAAGUCGAACGGCAGCACGGGAGCUUGCUCCUGGUGGCGAGUGGCGAACGGGUGAGUAAUGCAUCGGAACGUAUCCUGGAGUGGGGGAUAACGUAGCGAAAGUUACGCUAAUACCGCAUAUUCUGUGAGCAGGAAAGCGGGGGACCUUCGGGCCUCGCGCUCUUGGAGCGGCCGAUGUCGGAUUAGCUAGUUGGUGAGGUAAAGGCUCACCAAGGCGACGAUCCGUAGCAGGUCUGAGAGGAUGAUCUGCCACACUGGAACUGAGACACGGUCCAGACUCCUACGGGAGGCAGCAGUGGGGAAUUUUGGACAAUGGGGGCAACCCUGAUCCAGCCAUGCCGCGUGAGUGAAGAAGGCCUCGGUGUAAGA
rnacentral:rRNA from 1 species